rnacentral:rRNA from 1 species
UUGCAAACCAAAGCUGGCGACCGGCGCACGGGUGAGUAACACGUAUCCAACCUGCCUCAUACUCGGGGAUAGCCUUUCGAAAGAAAGAUUAAUAUCCGAUAGCAUAUAUUUCCCGCAUGGGUUUUAUAUUAAAGAAAUUCGGUAUGAGAUGGGGAUGCGUUCCAUUAGUUUGUUGGGGGGUAACGGCCCACCAAGACUACGAUGGAUAGGGGUUCUGAGAGGAAGGUCCCCCACAUUGGAACUGAGACACGGUCCAAACUCCUACGGGAGGCAGCAUG